AUUGAACGCUGGCGGCGUGCCUAACACAUGCAAGUCGAGCGGUAACAGGUGUAGCAAUACAUGCUGACGAGCGGCGGACGGGUGAGUAACGCUUGGGAAUCUGCCUGUUAGUGGGGGACAACCCGGGGAAACUCGGGCUAAUACCGCAUACGCACUACAGUGGAAAGCCGGGGACCGCAAGGCCUGGCGCUAACAGAUGAGCCCAAGUCGGAUUAGCUAGUUGGUAGGGUAACGGCCACCAAGGCGACGAUCCGUAACUGGUCUGAGAGGACGACCAGUCACACCGGAACUGAGACACGGUCCGGACUCCUACGGGAGGCAGCAGUGGGGAAUAUUGGACAAUGGGCGAAAGCCUGAUCCAGCGACGCCGCGUGGGUGAAGAAGGCCUGCGGGUUGUAAGAACCCUUUCGGUGGGGAAGAAAGCCUCGAGUUAACACCUCGGGUCUUGACGUAACCCAUAGAAGAAGCACCGGCUAACUCUGUGCCAGCCGCCG
rnacentral:rRNA from 1 species